rnacentral:rRNA from 1 species
UUUCGCUGACACUCUCCUUGUGCCUGAAAAUGCAACUCGAACGAAGCACCUUUUUUGAUUCCCUUCGGGGAUGAUAAACUGGUGACUGAGUGGCGAACGGGUGAGUAACACUUGGGUGAUCUGCCCCCAAGUGCGGCAUAACAGUUGGGAAACUGCUGCUAAUUCCGCAUAUGCUCCCGCCUUUUGUGGCGUGAGUAAAGAUUUAUCUGCUUGGGGAUGAGCCCGCGGCACAUCAGCUAGUUGGUAGGGUAAAGGCCUACCAAGGCGACGACGUGUAGCCGACCUGAGAGGGUGACCGGCCACAGGGGUACUGAGACACGGACCCCACUCCUACGGGAGGCAGCAGUUAGGAAUCUUCCACAAUGGGCGCAAGCCUGAUGGAGCGACACUGCAUGAGGGAUGAAGGUUUUCGGAUCGUAAACCUCUGAACUAGGGACGAUAAUGACGGUACCUAGGUAAUAGCACCGGCUAACUCCGUGCCAGCAGCCGCGGUAAUACGGAGGGUGCGAGCGUUAUCCGGAAUCACUGGGCGUAAAGGGCACGUAGGCGGUCUACUAAGUCCGAUGUUAAAGAGUGGGGCUCAACCCCAUCACGGCGUUGGAUCUGGCAGGCUUGACGACUGGAGAGGAAAGUAGAAUUCCAGUGUAGCGGUGAAAUGCGUAGAUACUGGUAGGAAUACCAUUGCGAAGCAGCUUUCUGGACAGUUUGUACCUGAGGUGCGAAAUGUGGGGAGCAAACCGGAUUAAAUCCCCGGUAGCCCACCCUAACAACAUCUUGUGUAACCCCUUGGGUUGGCCCCGACCACCCUAAGAUCCCUGGAAUCCGCCCAGGUGAAUAAAGAAUACCGGACCCCAACGGGGCUUGUUAAUUAACACCAAACUCCGCUUGUCUUACUUGAAUAGGGCUUGGACAAAAGCUUUGUU